CCACUUUUAUAAAGAAUACUUCGUCCUCGCUGACACUUGUUCCAAUCGAUGUGGGAUCUCACAAAUUUCUUGCAUUAGAGAUGGAGCUAUCUCGUUUUCUCUACAAGCUUUGCUCUUCUUCCUCAUGCUGAUUCACGUCUUUUUGUAUUAAUUCGAUAUUCAAAUCAAUUCCUUUAUGCAAAUAGAAGAGGGCAUAGACUACGUUCGCUUUGCUCUUCUCCCUCAAGCUAAUUCAUGUCUUUUUGUAUUAACUCGGUAUUCAAAUCAAUUCCUUUAUGCAAAUAGAAGAGGGCAUAGACUACGUUCGCUUUGCUCUUCUCCCUCAAGCUAAUUCAUGUCUUUUUGUAUUAACUCGGUAUUCAAAUCAAUUCCUUUAUGCAAAUAGAAGAGGGCAUAGACUACGUUCGGUAAAUAUCUUCACCCUAUAGAUUACUUUUAUUAUUGUUAUCUUUUAAAUGUUAUGCUUUUGCCAUCCUAUUUUGG